rnacentral:misc_RNA from 1 species
AAGUCGUAACAAGGUCUCCGUUGGUGAACCAGCGGAGGGAUCAUUACCGAGUUAUCACUCAAAACCCACUGUGAACUUACCACACGUUCGUUGCUUCGGCGGGCGGGGGACCCCUCUCUUUCGGGAGGGGGCCUUCCCCCCCAGGCCCCUCCGGGGGCGCCCGCCGGCAGCGCCAAACUCUGUCGCUAUUGUCUAGCGUUACUGUCUGAUUAUGAAAAUAACAAACGUUAAAAACUUUCAACAACGGAUCUCUUGGCUGUG